CACAUUUGAUUCUGUGUGUGUGUGAGUGUGUGUACAUGAACAUUUUAUUCUGUGCCUGUGUGUGUGUGCAGCUCUCCCUCUUCAGUCAUUGUGUUGGGUUCUGUGCAGCGAGGAUACAGAGAGAGAUCUGUUUUGUUUUCGGCGGUGGUGGCGGUCACUCUCAGAGCACAGAACCCAGCCCCUCAUUCAGGCAGGUAGUAGAAGCACACUGACACACAGAUGUUGCUGGGAAAGCAGAUGUCUAUACAGAAGUAAAUGAGCCGUUGUUUCCCUGGACCUGUGGACAGAGGGUGUGGAUCUCAGUUCACUCUCAUCUAAUUACAACUUGUUGUAUACAGCAGCCCGAGAAAAGGACAUGCCGCCAAAAGGUCCAGGGAUUAUGUUUCAGUUCCAAGUCUGCUUGGAACCAGUGACACAACACGGAUCUCCAGUUCCAGGCUUAGUUUUUGAAGUCUAAGCUCUUUCUUAUUAAAUUUGAGUGGUAUUGUGUAAAAUUGAAUUGGUUCCAGAACAAAAGUUGAGAGUUUUGACAUUUGAACAUGCCUUUGGUUUUAAAAUAUAGUGCAAAUUUGUUCUUCCACUGAUGUUGAUUUGAAGCAGUUCUGCUGUAGAUAUCCCAAUAUGUUCUUCAAUUGCUGUAUGUUAUGAAUGAAAAAAAUAUAGAAGUAGCUGAUCUACUGUAGUAAAUGUUAGUCAAGAAACAAUUAA